UAGUCCCCUGACACCUAUAGGCAAACCACAUUCAGCUGCUGGUUAUCUCAGAUUUGGACAAACUGAUAUGAUACUUACCAGGAAAGUGACUGGGAAUGAAAUUUCUGUGUCCCUUGGCUGAGGUUAUCAGUAGUAGAUCUGUCACCACCACUGGCUAGCUCAGAACAGUUUUCUCCAUCGGACACGGAGUAUAUGUCUGACAGGCUGUCAUAACCAGCAGAACAUAAUUCCUAACGACAUAAUCAAAAUGCUGUUUUUGCUAUGUUGUGUAUAGGUGAGAGUGCUGGCUCGCAAAGGAGAACCUUGCCUGAUAUCCAGCAAGAUUAUGCUUACUAACAUAACAAGAUGACAUCACAAGUACUAACAUCACAAGAUGACAUCACUAGAAUUCCCUAAGAAACGGAGGAUGAACAAUUGAGAGGAUCAUGAACCACAUACUAGUGCUGAAGCUGCUGCUCCUAGUCCUGACAAUGCAAGUUUGUCAACGUCAUCUGCUAAGGCCGAUGCCCAAGGGCAUAGACGGCUUAAUUCAGGACAUGUCAAAUCAAAGAAAAAGUAAAAGUUGGAUUAGUAAAAGUCAGAUCAGCGCAAUAACCAAUAAAAAUUGUUGUCUAUGCAAUA